CAUGUAUUAUUCUCUAUAACUUUGGCGGAGUUUUAAUGGAAAUAUUAAUGUUAGGUUUUUUAUCAAACUGCGGAAAUUUGAAAAAAAAAACACCCAAAUGUUUAGGCCCAGUAACCCGGGGAUUUUAACAAUUGAACAAGAUUUUUUAGCCGGGAUUUUAACAACCGUGAAAUGUUAAAAUCCCCGCUUAGUCCCGGGGGUCGGGGGGCCGGGCUUUCGAUUGACUAGUGCAU